CAUAUUUUUAUCCAAAUUAUAUAAUAGAUUUUAUCUAUCUAGAACGAUAAUCUCGAGCUUAUUUCCCUAGGUUGUUUUUACUUAUCUCGGUAUAUCUUUUCUCGACACAUAAAAUAUGGUAUGCACCUAUUGCCAGACUGUUAUUUUGACGUGUAGGACAUUAUUGCCAGAGCCGAAGGCCUACACGUCAAAAUAACAAUCUUGGCAACAGGUACAUAA